rnacentral:lncRNA from 1 species
CAAAAUUGCUCUUCUUAGUUGAAAAAAAUGGGAUUAAAUCAUAUAUAAAAAUAAUAGAAGUCUAAAGAAUUAAGAGUUAGGAACUUAUUAAACUAGUGAAUUACAAAAUGACAGAAUGUUAUAUCUGGAAGUGGGUUUGCUUGAAGUUUAAAGGUAAGUUUAAAAGGAAUAUUUGGCAAUGGCUUAAUAAAUUUUUUUUUUCCAAGUGGCACUAACAGGCUGAAAAUAUGAAAGAUGCGAAAUAAGUGUAAUCUAAUUAUUCAUUAUAGCUGGACUCUAGAGGAUUGCUACUGAGUGGCGCUUCUCUUACUUCAGUUCCUUUUAAUUUGCAUACAUAAAGGGGUGAAAAUUGCAUUUUUAACACAUACUCUCAAAUCUAGUCUACGGAUUCAAAUUCGCUCAAAGGAAGCUCCUUUUGUAGUUUCUAGGUAAUUUGUUGCUUUCUCAGGUAUGUAGAACAAGUUACCUUUUUAAUUGCUGAAAUGAAUACAUUGACUACUCUCUCCCUGUGUUUAAAAUAGUUUGUUAAAAUUAAUGAAAGAGAUGCAAUAGAAUAUAAAUAUCCUACAACCUCAACUUUAGCAAGAUAAUGAGUAAUACAGGAUUCUUGACACACACGGGUUCUCUGUUUUAAAUUAGAGGUAUUGUCUUUUUGGAAUCCAACAUUUGACAGCCAGAGCAUAACAAGGGACAGGAUUAAAGAUGUACUAUUGGGGAGCCAAUUAUGCAAGUCCAAUAUUCUACUCCUUUUUAUUCUGUAAAAACUGCUUAGGUGAGGAUCAGAUAACAGGCCUAGAAGAAAUGGGAGAAAGCUCUGAGACUAUCCACAACCAUACCAUGGUUGUACCCAGAGAGUAAAGAAUAAAAGAGAUAAUGAAUAAAAUUUAAUAGUUGUCUUCUGGUAGCCAUACUAUACAUGAAAGCAAAUAUUUGAGAACAGAAACACAUAGAAUAUAAGAUUAUAUACAUCAGGAGAUAUGAG